rnacentral:rRNA from 1 species
AACGUAGGAGACAAACGUUAUCCGGAGUUACUGGGCGUAAAGGGCGUGUAGGCGGACUGUUAAGUCUGGCGUGAAAGCUCCCGGCUAAACCGGGAGAGGUCGUUGGAUACUGGCAGACUAGAGGGUGGUAGAGGCGUGUGGAAUUCCGGGUGUAGUGGUGAAAUGCGUAGAGAUCCGGAGGAACACCAGUGGCGAAGGCGGCACUCUGGGCCGAUACUGACACUGAGGAGCGAAAGCGUGGGGAGCGAACAGG